AACAUCUGGUGCCGAAACCCGGGAGGGGCUGGAUGCCUCUUGGUUAGAGCGCCUCCAUCGGACCUCUCACGCGGUCAUCCGGCUGGGAAGAUGGAAGUUCGUGACCAACGCCCCAGGGCUCCCAGAAGGCGGCUUACACCAUAGUCACUCCAGACUCCACCUUGGAGGCGGACACUCUCCUGCUGGCAACUAAUCUCAGCGGGCUGAACUCUAUGCCCUCACCAGGGCCCUGCAUCUGUCUAAGGACAAAAGGGUCAACAUCUAUACGGAUUUCAACACAUCCCUCGCUUCGGCCUCCCGACCAGCAUUCAGUCUGAUAACGGCCCUGCGUUCAUCUCGCAAGUGACUCAGCAGGUCAGCGGAAACUUACACAUCACCUGGAGGCUCCACAUCCCACAUAGGCCUCAGUCCUCGGCCCCAGCUGGCAUCCAGCUGCUGACUUUGCAUCCGAACAGCCCUUCCCCGCAUAUAUGGCACCCCAGUCUACCCUACGAACGAUAUCCCAAU